CCGGCGCACGGUGAGUAACGCGUAUGCAACUUGCCUAUCAGAGGGGGAUAACCCGGCGAAAGUCGGACUAAUACCGCAUGAAGUAGGGGCCCCGCAUGGGGAUAUUUGCUAAAGAUUCAUCGCUGAUAGAUAGGCAUGCGUUCCAUUAGGCAGUUGGCGGGGUAACGGCCCACCAAACCGACGAUGGAUAGGGGUUCUGAGAGGAAGGUCCCCCACAUUGGUACUGAGACACGGACCAA
rnacentral:rRNA from 1 species